CUGACAGCCUUGGAGACUGAAGUUCUGCGACUGAAGUUCUGUAUUUACCCAUGGAACAGGCAGCAGCAAUGCAAGCUUCCACACACUGCUGUACCAGUGUGCCUCAAACAUGAAUUUGAAAGAUCACUGCAUGGACGAAAGGAUAAUUCAGCCUUCACAGCACAUUCAGUCCUUGGCGACU
rnacentral:sRNA from 1 species